CUCUCCUCCUCUCCAAAUCUCCAUGAUUUUGGGGUUUUUUUUAUUCCUCCCAACAGUUUUGCCAAGCCUGGGAUGCCUCGAGCAGGUGGAAGGUCCCCAGCAGAACUCCAGAAGCUUUUCCAACCCUGCACCUCUGGCUUCAGCUCAUCUGGUUCUGAACCUGACAAGAAUUUUCCUUUUUUCUGCAGCAGGACCCAGUUUUGCCAAGCCUGGGAUGCCUCGAGCAGGUGGAAGGUCCCCAGCAGAACUCCAGGAGCUUUUCCAACCCUGCACCUCUGGCUUCAGCUCAUCUGGUUCUGGACCUGACAAGAAUUUUCCUUUUUUCUCCAGCAGGACCCAGCACCUGAGGAUGCUCGGAACCAGCCCAGCCCAGUCCUGGCGGUACCGGACUCCUAGCCUGGCGGUACCGGACUACAGCUCCCGGCGGGCCG